rnacentral:rRNA from 1 species
UACAGGGGGGGCAAGCGUUGUUCGGAAUUACUGGGCGUAAAGGGCGCGUAGGCGGCGGGGUAAGUCGGGUGUGAAAUCUCAGAGCUCAACUCUGAAAUGGCACUUGAUACUGCUCUGCUAGAGGACUGGAGAGGAGAUUGGAAUUCACGGUGUAGCAGUGAAAUGCGUAGAUAUCGUGAGGAAGACCGGUGGCGAAGGCGGAUCUCUGGACAGUUCCUGACGCUGAGGCGCGAAGGCCAGGGGAGCAAACGGG